CCGCGGUAAUACGGAGGGUGCAAGCGUUAAUCGGAAUUACUGGGCGUAAAGCGCACGCAGGCGGUUUGUUAAGUCAGAUGUGAAAUCCCCGGGCUCAACCUGGGAACUGCAUCUGAUACUGGCAAGCUUGAGUCUCGUAGAGGGGGGUAGAAUUCCAGGUGUAGCGGUGAAAUGCGUAGAGAUCUGGAGGAAUACCGGUGGCGAAGGCGGCCCCCUGGACGAAGACUGACGCUCAGGUGCGAAAGCGUGG
rnacentral:rRNA from 1 species